rnacentral:pre_miRNA from 1 species
UCUUUCGCAUGAGCGAAGAAAGUGGUUUCUUAAGAUGGAAUCUAUUCCUGGUGAAGAUGCUAUGAA